rnacentral:misc_RNA from 1 species
GCAUUUGAGACAAACAGAGAAACACUCUUAUCAAAGCUAAUCUUGAACUGGAAAAACCAAAUAUUGAAGGAUACUCACCCAAAUUUUCGUAGUGAAUUAGCUAAGUUUUGGGCUUUGAGGAAUGAACAGUAAAACAUCAAGCGAGUCGAGCAGGCUGACAUGCUCUCAUUCUAUUUCCCUGGAAAACUGCGAAGAACAAAGAAUUGAUGAGGGUUAUGCAUUCGCUUGCAACUGGCUAAAUAAAUCUUCAAUUUCCAUUU